AUGACGCCGCCCCGCCCUGGUGCUCGCCGGCUGCCGGCCGCCCCGCCCCAGCCCCGUCGGCCGCCCAUCGCCCGCGGCGGCGCCGCCCAGCGCCACUGCCCAGCCCAGGGACCAGCAGGCGGCGGCAGUUUCUUUCUCCCCUCUCCCUGUGUCUGUGCCCUGCGUUCAGCGGUUCAGAUGAAGAAGAAGAAUGGGACUGGUGGUGGCAGUAGGAUUCUUGCAUUGUGGGAAAAAGCUUCAAAAGCAAACAAGAUUGAUGAAACGUCUACACCGAAUCAGAGUGCAGCUGCAUCGGGUACUUGUACCUCUCAUGUUCAGCUUGAGAGCAAUUUGCAAUUGGCGUUAGUGCAAGCACCAGAUGCGGAACGUGAACCGGAGAGCAGAGAAGCAACCCCAACCCCAAUUGUAAAAGAUGUUGAAACAAGUGAUGCAGAUGAUGAACCAAUGGAAGCAGAUUUGGAGGCACUCGAACCUGAUCCUGGGAAGCGGAUUCCCAUCUCAGUGUAUGUUGUCAAUGACCAAGAUAGAGAUAAGACAAAAUAUCCCGGUGGAGAUGCAUUUGUGAAGAAUGGAUUUAGGAACUGGAACAUGAAAUCGAGAUUGAAGAAACAUGAAGGUGAUGUUAGUAGUGCUCAUGCUGAAGCUCAAGAGAAAGGUUGA
rnacentral:rRNA from 1 species